rnacentral:rRNA from 1 species
CCUACGGGAGGCAGCAGUGAGGAAUAUUGGUCAAUGGACGAGAGUCUGAACCAGCCAAGUAGCGUGAAGGAUGACUGCCCUGUGGGUUGUAAACUUCUUUUAUAUGGGAAUAAAAUGUUCCACGUGUGGGAUUUUGUAUGUACCAUAUGAAUAAGGAUCGGCUAACUCCGUGCCAGCAGCCGCGGUAAUACGGAGGAUCCGAGCGUUAUCCGGAUUUAUUGGGUUUAAAGGGAGCGUAGGUGGAUUGUUAAGUCAGUUGUGAAAGUUUGCGGCUCAACCGUAAAAUUGCCGGUGAAACUGGCAGUCUUGAGUACAGUAGAGGUGGGCGGAAUGCGUGGUGUAGCGGUGAAAUGCUUAGAUAUCACGAAGAACUCCGAUUGCGAAGGCAGUUCACUGGACUGCAACUGACACUGAGGCUGGAAAGUGUGGGUAUCAAACAGGAUUAGAUACCCGAGUAGUC